UGGGGAAUAUUGCACAAUGGGCGAAAGCCUGAUGCAGCAACGCCGCGUGAGUGAUGAAGGUCUUCGGAUUGUAAAGCUCUGUCUUUUGGGACGAUAAUGACGGUACCAAAGGAGGAAGCCACGGCUAACUACGUGCCAGCAGCCGCGGUAAUACGUAGGUGGCGAGCGUUGUCCGGAUUUACUGGGCGUAAAGGGUGCGUAGGCGGAUGUUUAAGUGAGAUGUGAAAUACCCGGGCUUAACUUGGGUGCUGCAUUUCAAACUGGAUAUCUAGAGUACAGGAGAGGAGAAUGGAAUUCCUAGUGUAGCGGUGAAAUGCGUAGAGAUUAGGAAGAACACCAGUGGCGAAGGCGAUUCUCUGGACUGUAACUGACGCUGAGGCACGAAAGCGUGGGUAGCAAACAGGAUUAGAUACCCUGGUAAUCCACGCCGUAAACGAUGAGUACUAGGUGUAGGAGGUAUCGACCCCUUCUGUGCCGCAGUAAACACAUUAAGUACUCCGCCUGGGAAGUACGAUCGCAAGAUUAAAACUCUAAGUGAAUUGAC
rnacentral:rRNA from 1 species